AGGAAUGCUUGGGCGUGCCUCCACCCACGCCGGCGUCGGCGGGCGUAUUUCGCCUCACAGUAGGUCGCCGCGACCCGUUGCUUUUGGGGACGUCGAAGGCCCGGACGGAUUGGUACCCUACCGGCUGGGGAUGCGGCUUCGGCUUCUCCUCUUGUCCGGUGGGCGAAACCGCCGGUGUCCUGGCUGCCCUGCGACGGUCGUAGAGACGAGCCCUCCCCUUCGGGGGGGCGGCUCUCGCGGCGUGCAAAAGGUCGGUGAUCCACCCGACCCGUCUUGAAACACGGACCAAGGAGUCUAACAUGUGUGCGAGUCAGUGGGCGCACUAAACCCAGAGGCGUAAUGAAAGUGACACGGGUUCGGCUGUCGCCUCGUGUGGCAGCCGGACUCAGGGCCGAUCCCUCACCGGUUGCCCUCGCCUCUCUCCCGCGUCUCGGUAAGCCGGGUGAGCUAUUUUCCCCGGCCGCUGCUGCGGGGCUCGGGGGGAGGCGGGGUGCGAUGGUGUCUGUAAAAAAGAGCCUGCUGUUGCAGGGGGGCGCAGGCCCGGGACUUGCCAGGACGCCGCGAGACUGUCACUUUGCUGUGAGGCUCUCGGGCCGAUCAGCGGGUCAUGCGUGCAGUCGGCAAGUACCAUGAGCAGACAUGUUGGGACCCGAAAGAUGGUGAACUAUGCCUGGCCAGGAUGAAGCCAGAGGAAACUCUGGUGGAGGUCCGUAGCGAUUCUGACGUGCAAAUCGAUCGUCGGAGCUGGGUAUAGGGGCGA
rnacentral:rRNA from 1 species